GCCGGCCACUGCCUCUGCUCUGCUCCUGCUCCUGCUGGGCCUGGCCUGGACCCAGGGGAGCCACGGCUGGGGUGCGGACGCGUCAUCACUGCAGAAACGUGCAGGCAGAGACGAUCAGCCGGGUGCAGGAUGGCAGGAGGUGGCAGCUGUAACUUCCAAGAACUACAAUUACAACCAGCAUGCGUAUCCCACUGCCUAUGGUGGGAAGUACUCAGUCAAGACCCCUGCAAAGGGGGGAGUCUCACCUUCUUCCUCGGCUUCCCGGGUGCAACCUGGCCUGCUGCAGUGGGUGAAGUUUUGGUAGGCAAUUUCUUGCAACCACCACCGAGGCCCCGAAAAGCACUGGUCGUCAGGGAGCUCCUCCCCUUGGCCCCCAGCCUGUGCCAGCCCUGGCCCGGCUGCCACACCUCUGUUUCCUAGGCUGGGGACCCAGCUUGUCUCUCCUUGUUUCUUCCCACUGCACUGUGGUGCUUCAGUGGCCACCAGCCUCGUCACAUACACCAGC
rnacentral:lncRNA from 1 species